AGGGGUAUAGCUCAGUUGGUAGAGCGGCGGUCUCCAAAACCGCAGGUCGUGGGUUCGAAGCCUACUGCCCCUG
rnacentral:tRNA from 2 species